rnacentral:rRNA from 1 species
UACGUAGGGUGCAAGCGUUAAUCGGAAUUACUGGGCGUAAAACGUGCGCAGGCGGUUUUGUAAGUCUGAUGUGAAAUCCCCGGGCUCAACCUGGGAAUUGCAUUGGAGACUGCAAGGCUAGAAUCUGGCAGAGGGGGGUAGAAUUCCACGUGUAGCAGUGAGAUGCGUAGAGAUGUGGAGGAACACCGAUGGCGAAGGCAGCCCCCUGGGUCAAGAUUGACGCUCAUGCACGAAAGCGUGGGGAGCAAACAGG